rnacentral:lncRNA from 1 species
UAUUGAAUUGCCAUUUUCUUUCUAUAGUGCAGUCACUGAAGGUAAAAAUCAACUAUUACCUUCGAUUUCGGUAAAUCGCCAUUUAUUUUCACGAAUUGACAAUAAGAACUUGGGGUUUUAGCCUGGGGUAUAUGUCACCCCUUCUCGGGAGUGAAAAUUACUUUAUUAAAAAUAACCCCACAAAUCGAGAGAGGGACAAAUUGUAAGCAAAAUUUGUUAUAUAAUAUUAUUA